CUUCCUAACGGAACAAAAACUAGACCAUUAAAGUGCGCUUUUCCCCUUUCUUUCUUCUUCUUUCUGGCAGUCACUGGCUGAAUACCUGAUAAACAUUUGAAAGUUCAUAGAAAGCAGGGAUUUGUUCACGAAAAAGGCCUCGGGUUAUUCCGCUUGACGCUGGACUACAAUCAAAGAAAGACAUAUAAAACAUUAUUAGUAAUAUUAAGUUCUACUGGCGUUUAAAAUAGGGGGAAAAGAACCGGAACUAUAGCUAAGGACUGCUGAAGUUUGAAGUGGAUUCGGAAGUAAUAGUGAAAACAUUUAUCUUUGUCGGACUAAAGGAACCUUUCUUCAAUAUGUUUUAUUUUUUAUUAUUUAUUUCAUGGACUGUCUUCGCUGAUGUGUCCGUAGACCUAACACCAAUCAGAGAAGAAAUAUUUGAUUCAAGCAAACAGCCCAGACUACAAUGGACAUUCUCACCAUCAAACGCUUGGAAUGAAACACAAAUGAAGCUUGGAAAAGACUAUACACACUCUGUCUAUCAAGCUUGUAACCCAGAAUUGGAUAAUGAUCACAAAACACUGUGGACCAAAUGGAUCCCCAAACAAGAUGCCCAUAAACUUUUUCUGGACCUAAGUUUUGCCCAAGCGGACCAGCAGCCUCUUUAUAUCUAUGUGCGAGAAUCGAACCAAAUGCACGAUCAGUACUAUAGAAAACCAAAAAUACCAGCUCUUUUCAAGAUCGCAGUCCAGCAUCCGUUUCCUGAUGCUGUCCCUCAGGAUGAGCACCUGAGCCAUGCUAAGGGCCUUGAAUUGGGAAAGAUCUCUAAGAAGGGUCUUUUCCUGGGAUUUAGCCACAGCAGCAAGUGCACUUUUAUUGCUUCAAUCCAGGUGUUCUUCCUGAAAUGCCCAGCAUUUGUUUGGAACCAAACGAAAUUUGAGGAAACAGCAGCAGGAGUGUUGGCGAGAGGAGCGUGUGUUAACGGUUCUGUGGAGAUCAGCACCCCAAUGAGGGAAUGUAAAACAAAUGGGACGUGGGGUCCGCCGCAGGGGUCAUGUGUCUGUGAAACAGGAUACCAGACAGAUGGAAACUGUUCAGAAGUAAGACCUCCAGUCAGCCUGUUGUCCCCUGCUGACACCACAGCUGAUUCCAGCCUGGGACUCUCUCCUAUCCUAACUGCUGGUCUAGUGUGUUCUCUUAUGGUUCUUCUCAUUCUCAUUGCUGUUGUGUACAUCUUUGUAAGGAGUCACAAGCUCAGUGAAGGUCAAGAAACAGAGCCCAUGUCUGGUGUGACUCGAUAUCGACGCUCUCAAGAACAAGUUUACAUUGUUCAACCGGAGCCUAUCAGCACUUGUAGGAUGAGCAGCUCUGAUCAGGUUGUUGAAUAUAGGCCUUUUCCUACCAGAAGUACAGCACUUUUAGGGGAAGUGUCUCAGCAUGAUUAUGGAUAUGUACAGCUGCAUACUGACCGACCUCUGCUGGAAUCCACAAGAUCAGUUGAGGUGCUGGAAGGAAUGAGUGAUAGGCUGCUGUGUGAUCUUAGAGACGUGAUGGUGGAACGUACAAAGCUGACAAUGGGCCAAAAGCUUGGGAAAGGAGAAUUUGGGGCCGUCUAUGAAGGUAUAUUUUCCCCUCAGAAAGGACAAGAUAUCAGAGUGGCAGUGAAAACAUUGAAAGGUGCAGUCCACAGUAAAGAAGAUCUGGAGUCCUUCCUUAAGGAAGCAGAAAUUAUGAAGCAUUUUGAUCAUGUGAAUGUAGUCAAAUUGCUUGGGGUUGCACUGGAGCGGGACCCGGAGUCCUCCAUCCACACACCGCUUGUUAUUCUUCCGUUCAUGAAGUAUGGAGAUCUACACAGCUUCCUCAAAGCGAGCCGCUACGGUGAUAUUCCCAUGGAAUGGAGUAUCUCAGCCUUCAGGGUUUCUAACACAGAGACCUGGCUGCCCGCAAUUGCAUGUUGGGGGAUGAUCUGCAUGUCUGUGUGGCUGACUUUGGCCUGUCUAAGAACAUCUAUUCCAGUAACUACUAUAGGCAGAAGAAUAUGGAUGUUAACAUGCCUGUGAGGUGGAUGGCUAUAGAGUGUCUGUCUGACUUCUUAUUCACCACCAAGAGUGAUGUGUGGUCUUUUGGAAUAACCAUGUGGGAGAUCACAUCCAGAGGGAAGGUGCCUUAUCCAGGUAUCUCUGGCCAUGAGCUCCUACACUUCCUGGAAAACGGACACCGUCUCAAACAAGGGGACAAUGACAGUAAACUAUAUGAGCUUAUGUUGAGCUGCUGGCACAGAGAUCCCUCUCAGAGCCUCAAAGCACUUCUGUCUGAGCUUCCAGCCCUGGAGGCCAGCGAUGAGGGCCACUACAUCAACCUGGGUCUGAAGGCAGCCAGUGAUCACCAGGACAGCGCAGAGACCCUGGAGCCUGAGGGGGAGAGGAUGAUGUAAACCACAUGUACUAUACCUGCCUAAACCAGUGGGCGGCUUUGUUCUUUUCUAGACUCCUGAGGGAAGAGGAGGAAGACCUGCUGUGCAUUACAAUUUAUUAUGAGAAUGUAGUCCACAAUAUGCAUAUUUUAAGCAUUAUGGUCAGAUUUCGGUUUCAGAAAUGACAUAAAACUAAACAUUGCUAGAAGUACAUAUAAGAAUUCACAUUUAUCAAAACAUAUAUUAUGUUUAUACAUAUACAAUAUUGUGAUUCAUAUUUUUAUUUUUCUACUUUUCUUCUACACUGUCGUCAAUAUA